UAUAAAGCAAAAAAGGAAUAGAAACCGCUGAGAGUGAUAAAGGAGGUAACUCAGUACAGAGUGCAUUUGAUCCCUUGCUACUGUCUUCAAAGGGUGUCAGAAUAAAAAGCAGAAAAAUGGGCUCUGUGUCGAUCUCAAUGCAUUGAGCGAUUAGGCAGAACAAGGCCAGAGCCCCCAGUCCCCCCAGGUGAAAGUGACAGCCACCGCAAGAGGAAACAACGACCUGGCGGUUUCAGGCUUCCCACGUGGUGAUGCAACCACAACACUGGUAGUAGGUGCCAGGGUAAAUGGCAGACAUGAUGAAAAUCCCCAAAAUGGAAUGAAAGUAGUCAAACUUCCAAAAUUGCAUUCUAGGUGAUGCUAAUAAGAAUUCCUCAAAUAGGAGGGUCUCAUAGGCUAUGUGGUCUGAUAAUAUGGGGAAAAGCUGAGUCAAAAAGAGUGACACAGGCUUCUUUAUUGCAGGACUUCUAAAGUCUUUGAUAUGCUAGAGCUAAUCUCCAUUAUGAUAUUUAGCAUUUCCUAAACUUAUCCGAACACAGUAUUUUUUCUUAGGAAAAGAUGUUAACGUUUUGUAGAUUAUCCACUUUCUAUGCAACACAGUUUGCAUGAAUUAAUCAACCUUUAUUCUUCCCAGUAUCAUAAACCAGCAAAGUCAGGACGUCUUACUGGGUGAACUGCAAUGUGCUCCACAGCAGGUCUACUAGACUGAAGUUCACGGGACGAGCCGAGUGGGGGAGGACGACCCACACACAAAUGUAAGGAAACCGAGGUCUAGAGAGAUGAGAUGAAGUUCACAGACCAAAGACUCAUCAGAGGUAGGAUUAAAAGAUGCACACAGGCACCUCCUCUCCCAGGACAAGAUAGUUGCUGCUGAUCAGUGACAGUCACAUGGGAACCAACAAACGGCUCCAAUGAGGAUGAGUGUUCAUGGCAUCUUCACCAGGAGCAGGCUGAGGCGAGUCAGCCCCAUCUUCGGGCUCCACUUCUAGCUCUAGCUCCCUGCUGUUCCCACCACGUCUGCAGCGGCUCCCGCCACUGAGCCUUGGACCCCCAGCGUCAAACGUGAAGGCUGCAACCAACUUCUUCCAAACUCCUGUUGAUGUGGAUGCUUUGACCUCCUCCUAUGAGACAUGAAAGUUCUCAAUGGCAUCUAGAAGGUGAGUCCUUUCCAGAAGGUUUUCAACUCAUUUUGCUCAGACCCCACAGAGGCAUCUCUGUCCCUGCAGCGGCAGUGCUAUGAAAUGUGCGUUUUGUAGAAUAGUUCUUUUUUUUUUUUUU